rnacentral:rRNA from 1 species
UAGGGAAUCUUCCACAAUGGACGCAAGUCUGAUGGAGCAACGCCGCGUGAGUGAAGAAGGUUUUCGGACCGUAAAGCUCUGUUGUUGGUGAAGAAGGAUAGAGGUAGUAACUGGCCUUUAUUUGACGGUAAUCAACCAGAAAGUCACGGCUAACUACGUGCCAGCAGCCGCGGUAAUACGUAGGUGGCAAGCGUUGUCCGGAUUUAUUGGGCGUAAAGCGAGCGCAGGCGGAAGAAUAAGUCUGAUGUGAAAGCCCUCGGCUUAACCGAGGAAUUGCAUCGGAAACUGUUUUCUUGAGUGCAGAAGAGGAGAGUAGAACUCCAUGUGUAGCGGUGGAAUGCGUAGAUAUAUGGAAGAAUACCAGUGGCGAAGGCGGCUCUCUGGUCUGCAACUGACGCUGAGGCUCGAAAGCAUGAGUAGCGAACAGGAUUAGAUACCCUGGUAGUCCAUGCCGUAAACGAUGAGUGCUAAGUGUUGGGAGGCUUCCGCCUCUCAGUGCUGCAGCUAACGCAUUAAGCACUCCGCCUGGGGGAGUACGACCGCAAGGUUGAAAC